rnacentral:rRNA from 1 species
AGUGAACGCUGGCGGUAUGCCUAAUACAUGCAAGUCGAGCGGCAGCACAAUAAGAUCUCUUUCCUGCUGUUGGCGAGGGACGGACGAGUGAGACAUAGAUAGGAUUCCUCUAUGACUGGGGUAACAUCGUGAGGACGUAGAUACUAACAGAUCAUAUUUUGUACGGCAUGAUUCAGAAGUGAAAGACGGUCUUGCUGUCACUUAUAGCUGGAUCCGAGUUGCAUUAGCUAGUUGGUAAGGUAAAGGCUCACCAAGGCAACGAUCCGUAGCUGGUCUGAGAGGAUGAUCAGCCACACUGGAACUGAGACACGGUCCAGACUCCUACGGGAGGCAGCAGUGGGGAAUAUUGGGCAAUGGGCGAAAGCCUGAUCCAGCCAUGCCGCGUGGGUGAAGAAGGCCUUCGGGUUGUAAAGCCCUUUUGUUGGGAAAGAAAAGAAGCAGGUUAAUCCCCCGCUGUUCUGACGGUACCCAAAGAAUAAGCCACGGCUAACUUCGUG